GUUUGAUCCUGGCUCAGGAUGAACGCUGGCGGCAUGCCUAAUACAUGCAAGUCGAACGGGGUGCUUGCACCCAGUGGCGAACGGGUGAGUAACACGUAUCUAAUCUACCUUUUAGUGGGGGAUAACAGUUGGAAACGACUGCUAAUACCGCAUACGACGUCAUUAUCGCAUGAGAAGACGUUAAAAGAUCCGUUUGGAUCGCUAGAAGAUGAGGAUGCGGCGUAUUAGCUAGUAGGUGAGGUAAUGGCUCACCUAGGCGAUGAUACGUAGCCGAACUGAGAGGUUGAUCGGCCACAUUGGGACUGAGAUACGGCCCAGACUCCUACGGGAGGCAGCAGUAGGGAAUUUUUCACAAUGGACGAAAGUCUGAUGAAGCAAUGCCGCGUGAGUGAUGACGGUCUUCGGAUUGUAAAGCUCUGUUGUAAGGGAAGAAAUGGUAGGAUAGGAAAUGAUCCUGCUUUGACGGUACCUUACCAGAAAGCCACGGCUAACUAUGUGCCAGCAGCCGCGGUAAUACAUAGGUGGCAAGCGUUAUCCGGACUUAUUGGGCGUACAGGGUGCGUAGGUGGUUCGAUAAGUUUACGGUUAAAUCCCGGGGCUCAACCCCGGUUCGCCUUGAAAACUGUCGUACUAAAAUACAGAAGAGGUAGAUGGAAUUCCAUGUGUAGCGGUGAAAUGCGUAAAUAUAUGGGAGGAACACCGUUGGCGGAGGCGGU
rnacentral:rRNA from 1 species